rnacentral:rRNA from 1 species
UAGGAAAUCUUGGACAAUGGGCGAAAGCCUGAUCCAGCCAUGCCGCGUGAGUGAUGAAGGCCUUAGGGUUGUAAAGCUCUUUCGCCAGGGAAGAUAAUGACGGUACCUGGAUAAGAAGCCCCGGCUAACUUCGUGCCAGCAGCCGCGGUAAUACGAAGGGGGCUAGCGUUGUUCGGAAUUACUGGGCGUAAAGCGCACGUAGGCGGCUUUCCAAGUUGGAGGUGAAAUCCCCGGGCUUAACCCGGGAACUGCCUCCAAAACUGAAAGGCUAGAGUCCGAGAGAGGUGAGUGGAAUUUCCAGUGUAGAGGUGAAAUUCGUAGAUAUUGGAAAGAACACCAGUGGCGAAGGCGGCUCACUGGCUCGGUACUGACGCUGAGGUGCGACAGCGUGGGGAGCAAACA